rnacentral:lncRNA from 1 species
UUCAACCCCUCACUACUUAAUCCACCCCCAGGUGCCAGCAAACAUCCCGAGCAGAGUUAGGCAAGGACUAUCCAUCACCAUGCUGGAAGUCUCAGAGUGGGCUUGGCAAUACCUGGGCCCUACAAAAAGAGCUAUGAAGGCAUUAGGACCAAAAAAAUCAUCUUAUUUGCUUAUUGAUUUCCAAUAAAAUCUAAUAAUUAGAAAAACAGUCCUGCUGACUUGUGUGUGCCGUGCGUACAAAGGAAGGAGGCAAAAUCCCUCAGGGGGUGACAGUGCUUCCACAGCAGCCCUGCAGUCCCUCAGGGCUGGCAGACAAGUGUCCCUGCAGUGGCAUUAGCCUGUGUCCCCCGGGAGAGAGCAGAGAGCAUCAGUGCCAGGAGCCUGGGGCAUCCCUGGGGCUGGGGAAGGGAUCCUGUGGGGUGGGGACUGGCACAGACGGACUGGCACAGACAGGAGUGUCACAGGAUUGUCACAGACAGGAGUGUCACAGCCAGGAUUGUCACAGACAGGACUGGCACAGACAGGGCUGGCACAGACAGGAGUGUCACAGACAGGAUGUCACAGACAGGGCUGGCACAGACAGGGCUGGCACAGGAUUGUCACAGACAGGAGUGUCACAGACAGGAUG